rnacentral:rRNA from 1 species
AAGCGCUCAUGACCAGACUUGCGCCGGAGCGAUCAUCCGCUCUUCUGAGCGGUGCACUCGCUCCGGGGCAGGCCAGCAUCGGUUCCGGCGGGGGGAUAACAGUUCGGGGAAUGUGGCUCGUCUCUCGGCGAGUGUUUAUAGCCCCGUUCACAAUGCCCCCGCGGGGACCGAGGUUCGCGCGUCUGCAAGGAUGCUGGCGUAAUGGUCAUCAGCGA